AUUUAUGUAGUUUUUAAUUAUGUUUUUUAGGUUUUAAUUAAGUAUUUUUAAAUUAUGUCUUUAGGUUUUUUUUUUUUUUGUAUGUUGUAGGAUUUUAAAUUAAUGCAAUUUAAAUUUGAAUUAAAUUGUGUUAUUUAAAUUUAAGCAAUUAAAUUUAAAUGAAAACCAUAAAAAUCAAAACUAAAAAAAUCAAGUAGGCUAUCAAGUAACCCCA
rnacentral:lncRNA from 1 species